rnacentral:lncRNA from 1 species
AGCUGCUCAGAGCAUUCAAUUGGUUUACAAUUUCUGUAAACAGAAGCCAGUCGAGACAAAUGUAAGGUAAGGUCAUUUAAUUAAAGAGCCAUAGAAGCAUGCUGUUACUCAAAAAGACAAAGAGAGGGGAUGUUUGGUUAAUCACGAGAGUACAUUUAGAGGAUGUUAUUGUGAUGGACUAUAACAGAUGUAUUUAACUGAAAGUUAAUGCUCUACUCAUAUUUUAAAAUAGAAAACAUUUUGUUAAAUUUAUAUCAUUAAUAUAACAACCAUGUUAAUAAACACAAAACAAAGAUAAUAACCCAAGAGGUUGACACUGGCUUUUAGCAACCACAUUUUGUAUUUGUAAAACAGUACUUUAAACGCAUAUGUUAGAAACAAUAAAAAAUGUCCUCUGAUACUACAGAUAAUAUGUACUAUUUUUCAUAAUAUUCUAAAUGUACUAAAGGUUUUAAGAAGUGUAUCUACAUGAAUCAUGAACAUAAUAAGCACUUGUUCAUGUUCCACAAUUUUAAAAAUCAGCACAAAAUAAGAAAAGUAGAAACAGCUACUGUUUUCUACUCUUGUUUUUCUAACUGUUCUUUUAAAGGAACUCCCGAGUGUUGGCUUUAGGAAAUCUUAUAAUUUAGCCAAUAAGAAACAGAACAAAAGACAAGGUUAGAUAGAAAAAUACUAAAAUAAGAUAGAAUUCAUUUGGUACAUAAAUAGAAUCUUUUAACAUGAUUCAUAUAUAUUUUGGACAACUCUGAAUAUGUGCAAUUAUCACUCACUGGGUGAAAAUUAACUUGAAAAAAGAAUAAUAGCCAAUAGGGUAUUCUAUUUAACUCUUGCUGUUUCCAAAGUUACAACCUGGGAAUACCUUAGGUAUUAGACAAACAAAACAGAUCCAGAUUAUUCAGUGGUAAAGAAAAAAAAUGAUUAGAAAUAGAAAAUAGUUAUAAAUUCAGCAUUUAAAAAUGGUAUUCUUUAGCACUGUAAAUCUAAGUACACACUCUAAAUUUUAUUUGAACUAAAUCAGAAUACACAGUUCAAAAAGGUUGCCUUCAUCCAUUCAUUUGUUGUUGAAUUAAUAUUUAUUACUCUGUGCCAAGUACUAUCCUUAGGGCACAAGGAUGAAAAAAAAAUACGUGGUAUUGCCCUCUUGGAAUUUACAUCCUAUAAAAAUACAAAUUAAUACUGAAACAGACUUAGUAAAUGACUACUAGAAUAUGAGGUGAUCAGAAAGAUUAUAGAUCUUUGAGCUAAAUAUACAUAAAAAUUUGAUAAACUUAUUCAAUUUUUUUGUCUUAAUGAGAAAUGCAUUUUGCAUGGAUAAAAUUACUUGAUAUUUAAACAAGGGGUGCUUGAGUGGCUCAGUGGGUUAAGCGUCCGACUUCGGCUCAGGUCAUGAUCUCACAAUUCGUGGGUUCGAGCCCCGCUUCAGAUUCUGUGUCUCCCUCUCUCUCUGCCCUUCCCUCGGAAGUACUCUGUCUCUCUCUCUCUCUCUCUCUCUCUCUCUCAAAAAUAAAUAAAAACAUUUUUAAAAAAAUUUAAAAAGUUAAUUUUAAUUAUGUUGUGCAAUUGUAUUCCUAGAUGUGCAAUUACUAGUUAAAAAAAAUUUUUUUUUAAUGUUUAUUUAUUUUAGAGAGAGAGAGUGCAAGCAGAUGGGAAGCAGAGAGAGAGGGAGACAGAGGAUGUGAAGUGAGCUCUCCACUGACAGCAGAGAGCCUGGCGUGGGGCUCAAACUCAUGAACCGUGAGAUCAUGACCUGAGCUGAAGUCAGACACUAAACUGACUAAGCCACCCAGAUGCCCCACUACAUUAAAAUUAUUUUAAGUAAUGCUUAAAGAUUUGUAGUUUUUCUUAUAUAGCUAACACAUUUUAAUUAUUUUAUUAUAAUCAGUGAAGGUGGAAAUCAAUCAUUUGCUAAACAUCUUAUAAAAUAAGUAUCAUAGAGGAAUACCGGAGAAAUAUGAGACUUGGUCCUUACCUUCAAAACAUUAAUAUUACUCUAUAGAGAUUUAGAUACAACAUGGGAAUUUCUUUAAACAUUAUCAAGAUGACUCCAUCAUAUGAUUAAAUUAUUUACAUUGUGGUAUUUCUAGACGUUUAGAAUGUUUCCUCCCCUUCACCAUGCUUUUAGUGACAUCUAAAAUCAGUGAUGACCAUUUCCUCAUUAACCCCAAAUAAUUUCAUCUUUCCAUUCUGUUCACUGAUGACAGUCGUCCUUAUCCUAGUUUUCCUAUUUAUCCAUAUCUUAAAUAAAUCUUUACAUUACUCCUAGAACUUUUGCUUUAGAACUUUCAUUCAUGUUAACCAAGUGAAAAGGUAAUUCUGAUUAGCUAUACCAAUACUCCCUCUAUUUGGUAUGUAAAUAAAUGUUAAUUCAAAUCAUAAAGAGAGGCAAGUUCCAAAGAAAUACCAUCUAACUUAUUUAAUAAGCAUUUAUCAAGUACCAAUAUGUGUCUUUGGUAGUACCUGCCCUCACGGCUUUAUAGUUUUAUGGGAUAGGCAGGCAAGUGAAGCAAUGUAUGGUAAGUAUGAUAAAUAUUAUGAUUGAGAUAUUCAUUUUAAACCUGUGAAACUGGAAGAGAGGCAUAUAGCUCUGAGGUCAGGAAGGCCUUCAUUUAAAUUUGAGCUAAUACAAGACAAACAGACAUUAUUAUUAAAAUAAAAGAAAAAAAUGAGAGCAUUCUACAAGGGCAAAAGGGAGACAAAUGAAAACAAGACACAUUUGAGGAAAUGCAAGUUGUUUGGGGUUUAAGAUGCCAGGGUGGAAAAUGGAAUGAGAUGAUGUUGGCAAACGUCCUAUUGUAAAGAUUAUUGUGAUCAAAGAAUGUGAACAUUACUCUGAGAACUAUGGGGAUCCACUGAAAGAUCAAAAUGUAUAUUUCAGUAUAUCAUUUCAGUAUUUCAGUACAUCAUUCCAGUAGCAACAUGGUGGCAGCAUUUGGAAAAAAACAGGACAAGAAGCAAGAAGAUGAGUGGUUCAGCAUCACCACUCCAUGAAGGGAGGCAAUCAAUAAAUAUCUGCUCAUUAGAGAAUAAAUUAAGAAUAAAGAUUUGGUAGUUAAUUUGACAUGAGGGAUAGGGAAAGGAACCUAAGGCAAGUUCCAGCUAUCUGACUUGGGUGACUAUGUGAAUAGUGUUCCACCACUGUGAUGGGGGCUAUUCAGUUGGGAACAUACCAAACUAUAGGUGUGUGUGAAACUUCCUAUGGAAAUAAAUCAACUGGCAUUGAAGAUGUUGGUCCGGAGCCUAACAUACAUAAUUUUGUUACGGAUUUCUCCCUUUAAAAAAGCACUUUUCUGUUUCUUUUAAAUUUCCUAUAUCAAUGUGCUUUAUAAUAUAUAAUCAGAAACAAAGUUAAAAAUGUAAAAGAUUUACAAUAAAAAUUUAUUCUCAGAAUUUUUUUUAAAUGUUUAUUCAUUUUUGAGAGAGAGACAGAGACAGAGACGGAACAUGAGUGGGGGAGGGGUAGAGGGAGAGAGGGAGAGACAGAACUCAAAGCGGGCUCCAGGCUCCACGCUGUUAGCACAGAGCCCGAUGCAGGGCUCCAACUCACGAACCGUGAGAUCAUGACCUGAGCAGAAGUUGGACGCUUAACCAACUGAGCCACCAAGGCGCCCCUCCCCCAAUAAAAAAAAUUUUUUUUAAUGUUUAUUUAUUUUUGACAGAGAGAGGGACAGAGCACGAGCAUGACACAGAAUCCGAAGCAGGCUCCAGGCUCUGAGCUAUCAGCACAGAGCCCGACGCGGGGCUUGAACUCAUGAACUGCGAGAUCAUGACCUGAGCCAAAGUCGGAUGCUCAACUGACUGAGCCACCCAGGCUCCCCCCUCCCAAAAUUUUUUUAAGUGGAAAGCUUUGUCAAUAGUUUACUACCUUGACCAAAGCACUUCCUGGCAAAGCAUUAAGCUUUGUUUCACCAAAUACUUUCACAUUUGAAAAAUGCUAAAGAAUGCUAUGUAAUAGCCACACAUUUCUAUCCCAGUGCUACUCAAACUGAGUGUUAAACUCAAAGUGUACAGUAUUUGGUCAUAGCAUCAUAGCAACAGUGUGUCAAUAUGGACUUGCUUCAUAUUGAUGAGAAUAAGGUGGAAAACUAAAUUAGGGACAGGAAAUCGAAGCAAAGGGUCAAGUAACUUGAGAUUCUACUGUUAGGAAGGCAAAAGUGGAUAGAAAUUGACCACCAGAGAUUAUCACAUUGAAAGAAAAAAGGGGAUGGGGUGGGGUGGUGGCAUUAAGAGUAGGUGGUGUUUUCCUUUUGAGAAAGUCCGUAGUUGAGUUAAAAGAAGAAAAAAAUAAAACUGCCUAGAGCUAGAACACAUCUGCAAAUCUUGCAGCAUCCUCAUUCUUCUCUCCAAAGCAUAACACUGGCCAGUGAUGCAUCUUUUUUGAGGGACCACGUAUUCAAAUUCUUGCCCAUUUGAAAAAAAUAGGGUUGGGGAUAUCUGGCUGGCUCAGUCAGUUGAGCCCUCUUGAUCUCAGGAUUGUAAAUUUGAGCCCCGCCUUGGGUGUAGAGAUUACUUAAAAUAAAAUCUUGAAAAAAAUUUUUUUAAACAGGGUUGUGUUUUUAGUAUGGUCAGACAUUAAAAAAAAUCUAUUCUGGAUACAAGACAGUAUCAGAUAUCUGCUUUGUGGGUAUUUUCUUCUAGUCUAUGACUUACACAUUUUCUCAACAAUCUAUUUUGAUGAGCCUAAGUUUUUAAUUUUGAUGAAGUCUAAUUUAUCAAAAUUUCUUUCAUGUUUUCUCUUCUGUGUCUUAUGUAUGAGCCCUCUGCCUGCCCUCAGGUCACAAAUACAUUGUUUUUCUUUCCCCUCCCCAGAAGCUUUAUUGUUUUAGCUUUUACAUUUAGGUCUAUGAUCAACCUUGAAUUAAUGUUUGUGUAUCCUGAGAGGUAAGAAUUGAGGCUCACUUUUUCCACAUGGACAACGAGGUGUUUCAGAAUAAUUUGUUGAAAAGAUUUUCCUUUCCUCACUGAAUUAUGCUGUCCCUUUGUUGAAAAUUAAUUGGCCAAGUUAAGUUUGGUAUUUCAACUUAACUUUGGUUAAGUAUUUCAGAACUUUCUGUUUUGUUCCAUUGAACAAGUUGUCUGUCCUAUGCCAAUAUCACACUAUACUGAUUUAUACCUUUAGAGUAAAUCUUAUCACCUAGUAAUAAUAUUACAAUGCUGUCCUUUUUCAAGACUGUAUUAUUAUUCAGGUCCUUUGCAUUUCCAAAGAUAUUUUAGAAUCAGCUUUCCAUUUUUUUUUUUUAAAACCUGCUAGGAUAGGGGUGUCUGGGUGGCUCUGUCUGUUAAGCGUCUGACUCUUGAUUUUGGCUUAGGUCAUAAUCUCACAGUAAUGAGAUUGAGCCCCACAUUGGGCUCUGCAUUGGGCAUGGAGGCUGCUUAAGAUUCUCUCUUUCCCUCUCUCUCUGCUCCUCCCCUGCUCAUGUGUGCAUUUGCUCUCUUUCUCACUCUCUCAAAAACAAAAACAAAACCCCACAAAACUUGCUAGGAUUACAAUUAGCACUAAGUUCAAUGUAUAUAGACUGAUUUGGGGAGGAUGGAAAUCCUGACAAUAUUGAGUCUUCUAAUCUAUGAACAUAGACUAUCUCUCCAUUUAUUAAGGUCUUCUGUAAUUAUUUUCAAUAUUGUAUCAUAGUUUUCUGUGUAGAGGUUUUUCUACAUCUUUUGUUAAAUUUAUUUCUAAGUAUUUAUACUAUUUUUAACCUUGAUUGUAAAUGGAAUUAUUUUGUUAAUUUUAUUUCCCAAAUGUUUGCUGUUCAUUUAUGAAAAUAUAGAUUUUUCUUUUAAAAAUUUUUUUAAAUAUUUAUUCUUAAGAAAGAGAGAGACGAGCAUGAGCAGGGGAAGGGCAGAGAGAGAGAGAGAGAGACACAGAUCUGAAGCAGGCUCCAGGCUUCAAGAUGUCAGCACAGAGCCCGAUGCGAGGCUCGAACCCAGAAUUGUGAAAUCAUGAUCUGAGCCAAAGUCAGGCAUUCAACUGACUGAGCCACCUAGGCACUCCUAAAAAUAUAGAUUUUUCUAUAUUAAUUUUGCAUUCUGUGACCUUGUUAGGAUCUCCAGUAUCAUGUUAAACAAAAGUGGUGAAAACAAACAUAUUUGCCUUGUACCCAGUCUUAGGAGGAAAGUAUUCAGUAUUUCACCAUUACAUAUGAUUUUAGCUGUAGCUUUUCACAGAUGUUCUUUACCAAAAUGAAGAAAUUCCCUUACACUGAAACCUUGCUGAGAAACUCAGUAUGGAAUUUUGUCAAAUACUCCUUUAUAUACCUAUUGAGAUGAUUAUAUGGUUUUUCUCCUUUAUUCUGUUAUGGUUAAAUCAACUGUGCAUUCCUGGGACAAAUCCUCAAAGAAUGCAUACUGGUACUUAGAAUAUUCAUUGUCCCCUGGUUCUUCCCCUAAAUACUGGAGAGCUAACUUUUUCUUUGGAGCUCUCACUUCCAAUCUGGCCCUGUCACCAGAACUCUCCUGGAGUCUCCUAGGGAGGCAGGGGGGCCUAGAGAAUUCUGAUCAGUUGUCAUUAGUAAAAGCAAAGCAGGAUUAGGGUUUAAGAGUGACACAGAAAGUAGGUUAAAUUUGGAAUCUGUGUCUUCUGCUACUUCUAGUCUCUGAGUUGACAUAUGUGACUUCUAAAUACUAGGAAAAGCUAUUCUUACUGUCUUCCAUCUAUCAAAUUCCUUUAAAAAGGAAGUAGCUGUGAUGCCUUAUCAAUUUUUAAAUUUUUUUUUAAUGUUUAUUUAUUUUUGAGACAGAGAGAGACAGAGCAUGAACAGGGGAGGGGCAGAGAGAGAGAGGGAGACAUAGAAUCUGAAGCAGGCUCCAGGCUCUGAGCUGUCAGCACAGAGCCCGAGGCGGGGCUUGAACUCACGGACCAUGAGAUCAUGACCUGAGCCGAAGUCGGACGCUUAACCAACUGAGCCAUCCAGGUGCCGCUCAAUUUUUUAGCUCAAGGGAUCAUAAAUGUUCCAACUCUCUGAUUCUACCCUGUUUUCCAGCCUUAUUAAUACCAAAAUAAUAGAUGCAGUAUCCCAGAAAUCCCUAUCCUUUACACAGACCUCCAAAAUAGGUGACUAUUUUUAUUCUAUCACUUUAUACACUCCACAGCAAACCUAUGAUUUGGUUCAUGAGUAUCCUAGGUACUGGAGAGUAAAUGGUCAGGUAAAAACCAGAAACAAAUUAAUGGAUGUAUUCUCUGACCAGAGUCCCAAGUUCAUCCUGACAGUCCUUCUACUCAAAGGAGGUAGACCAAUUUUUACCCAUUCACAAGUCUUAGCAGUAGGACAUUAUAAUCUCAGAGGACUGAGACAUACCAUAAUCAACUUUAGCUCUUCAAAUAUGAACUGUUAUCUCUUCUACUACCAUGGGUGCUUAAGAUUAUAUCCUCUGAAGUUGGUCAAUAUGUCAUUCUUCCUCCUCCCAAAUUAACAUUACAAACAAUAGGAAAGGGAUUAAUAAACACCAGUGCUUAUGGUAAAAAUGAAGCUUGAUUUAUAAACUACAUUUGGAUGGAAAGACUCUGAAUAGACUAUAUAUUUGAUGGAAAGCCACAGUUUUGGGCUCAGAAAAUUGUGGACUCUUGUAACUAGGUAUGUCCCUUACAGGGACUCUGAAAACUAUACCUAUUUAACCGUUUCAAAAGAUACCAGCUCUUCUGCAGAAUGGACUUUAAACCAAGGCAAUCCCUGCUUCUAACUAUGUGGAUCUUGUCUCCUUGUACACAAGCUGUCAUGUGAGACAGAGGUCAAAGAAUAGCACCUCGGAUGCUGUGAGGACUCCAGUGAAAAAGGAAUGCUCUGCUGGCAUGCUACUAUGUUUCCAAUAUCCUUCCAAGUGAAUCUAAUGCUUAGUCUGGCUUAUGUUACCUGUAUAGGUCUAGAUGAACCUAUGUAGAAUCCUUGGUUACCUUUCCAACAGCUUUAGGUAUACUGGGAUCUUUCAGAUAUUUCAUAAUGUCUGAAUUCUCUGAUAAUGCCUUCCUAUAAAAAAUGCUUCAGUUGAACCUGAUUUUCAGUAAGACAUUGUUAUUUACGGAGGAAUCUUUCCUUUUUCCUCUUGUUGAUAUGUAUUCAGAAAUUCAAUAUCAAAGAUGGUCAUAUUACCAAAUACUGGUUCAAGCACUGUGAGGAUGCCAUAUAGAUGGAGGCACUGACUGUUUUAAAACUAUAUAUGUUUUCUAAUACUGACUGGCUAUAAUAAACUUUCUAUUAAUGGGCUUUGUUUCUCCAUCUCCAAGGUCUAUUACUCCCACUACAUUUCAAACUGCAGUUUUUCUAACUGCAAUUCAAAAUUCUCUUGCCCAUUCACUGGUGCUGUACCUCUGUAGAAUGCACCUAUAUAUAACACUAUCAGUAAAAGGUUCCUAAGAGCCAAUCCCAAAAUGUUUCCAGUUAGAAGUGAAUUUGGCCCAGGUGGAACAGGGUAAGGAUUUUUGAUCAAUCCAAGUAUAGGUAUCAUGGAUUUAUGUUUACCUUCUAGCAAAGACUGUAAUUUCAGAAGACAUAUUUUGUUAAUUACUAUUGAUUUUACAGUAAUAUUCCAUAUCACUGAUUAAAUGAAUAGCUUCUAGGUGUUAAUCUAAGGUAUCACAAAAUAAUUGUAACAGUCUUGUUCCCUCAAGAAGUUUACAGCUUAGUUGGGGAAAUAAUAAAGCCAUACAAUUUUUAUCGAUAUGUGAUUGCAUUUUACGCAUUUCUAUUGCAAUAUAAAGAUAUCAUUAAUAGAGGCAAUUUUUUAAAUAAUGAUUUUUUCCUCCAUAAACAUUCUGUUAGCAAUUCCAAAGCUGCAAGGAACAGCAAAUAUAAGCUGUGUUUAAAUUACUGCCACUUUAGUUGGUAAAUAAAAAUACCCACCAUACUUUAUUUGUACCAUGUUUAUAAAAUGCAUUCAUUUUGUUUAGUCUUAACCUAUUGCUUUAACAUUACUGUUGUUAAAUUUUAAUAUAUUUUUAACUAUCUUAAAACUACUUUACCCAAACAUUUUUAGAGUGGUAGUGCUGGUGCUAAAAAAAAUUCCUGAAAGAUAAUAACUUUGGAAUGGAAUUUACAUGUGCUAAAAAAUGCAACUAAGGAAGCCAAACAACUGCCAUAACAUGCUGUGCUAUUAAUUUAAGUGACUGUACUCUGGAAAUAUAAUAGAGAAAAAAAAAUGUAACAUCAAAGCAAAAAUGUUAUAAUGACUGGAUUUACUUAAGAGCAUGCAUCUAAUCACCACUGUCCCCAUCUACCCCUUCUCCCUCAAUAUACAUUUUGAAUUCAUAACUUUUGGAAAACUAGUCUUGAAUUAUUUAAGGUUUGAAUUAUGUGUCCUCGAAGAUCACAUGCUUUCCACAAAAUGGGACCAUGCAACCUUGGAUAAGGUCGUAUAUGAGUAAAGGUUAAAUAAAUGGAACAAGAUAAUAAGCCAGAGUGAUUAGUAUGGGCUAUAAUAUGAGAAAGAAGUCCCUUCAUUGAUUUAUGACCUUUCAGUUAGCACAUCUUAAAUUCUCAAUAUGUUCCAGACAAUGUGCCAGAAGCGAGUGAUAAAAAGAACAGUUACAACAUAGUCUCUACCUUGAAGGAAUUUCAUGAAACAGGGAAAAGAAAUACAUACAUAAAAUAAUAACAGAAAAUAGUAGAAUUCCAAAGAAACCUUGGAUCAUCACAAGUUGCAUUAAAAUAAUUUCUUCAAUUAGGGUCAGAGAAUUUUAGACUAUCUAAAAGAAAAUUAUUUCUUCUACAGGAAUUUUAGAAAAUAAGGUGUAUGUGUAUUUUUAAGCAAUAAGGGAUACUAUGGUCUGAAUAUUUGUGCCCCCCCCCCACCCCAGAUUCAUGUUUAAAUCUUAAUUCUCAGUGUGAUGGUAUUAGGAGGUAAGGCCUUUGAGAGAAGAUUAGGUCAUAGGGCAGAGCCCUCAUGAAUAAGAUUAAUGUCCUUCUAAAAGGGGCCCAGAGAGAUCCUUUGCCCCUUCCACCAUGUGAGGAAUACAAUGAGAAGUCUGUGACCCAGAAGAGGGCCCUCAUCUAACCAUGCUGGCACCUUGAUCUCAGACUUCCAGUCUCCAAAACUGUGGGAAAUAAAUUUAAGUUGCUUAUAAACUACCCAUCCAAGGUAUUUUGUUAUAGCAGCCCCAACAGACUAAGACAAUAAAAUCUGAUUAUAAUUGUUUUCAUUAUAUCUAUAAUUUACUCAAAAAUAAUGUCCUUUCUUUCCCUUUCGAUAAUAGCAAAGAACUUCCGACAUACUGUUACCACCUUUUUUCCCCAUUACUGUGAUCAAAGUAGUACAACAUUGCUCAAAACAAUUAUAAAACUGUGGGGUUUUAAAAUUUCCUAUUUAUGGUACUAGGGCCUAAUUGAGAUUUAGUUUUAAUCAAAAGUCAUUCACAAAGAACAAACCAUAUUCUCCAUUUAAAAGAUCAAAUUAUAUCUCACAGCAGUUAUAAACAUUCAUGCUGCAAGAAAAUGUCUGCAUUUGUAAAUAGUACAGUAGUAGCCUAAGGGAUAGGAUGGUCAAGCUUAAGAGGGAGUGGGCAUGAAAGGUUUCUCAGAGUAUGUGUCAAUAUUAUUAAAAUUUAAAGGAUAAGUAAAAAGUCAUUGGUGGCAGUAGAGAAAGGUUACUAACUUACCCUUCCUGAAGUACUUCAGCCACCGAAAUAAAACAAAGAACUCAAAGACAGGAAAGACAGGGCAUUUUAAAAAGUAUCAUAUAAUUGUUGCUGAAAUGAUUAUAAACAUAAUGCAGGGGCGCCUGGGUGGCUCAGUAGGUUGAGCGUCCGACUUCGGCUCAGGUCAUGAUCUUGUGGUUUGUGGGUUCGAGCCCCAUGUCAGGCUCUGUGCUGACAGCUCAGAGCCUGGAGCCUGCUUCAGAUCCUGUGUCUCCCCCCUCUCUCUUCCCCUCCCAUGCUCAUGCCCUGUCUCUCUCUGUCUCUCAGUAAUAAAUAAAAGUUAAAAAAAAUUUUUUAACUUAAUGCAAAUGUCUGCAUUUAUUAUUGAAAGAAGAACCCCAAAAUUUACUCAAAUAAAAAUAACAGCUGGGAGGGGUUUAAAUAAAAAAAAAUAUUGACUCUCUCAUCUUACAUGAGGUGAGUCAAUACAUUCUGUUUUAUUUAUUUAUUUUAAAUAUUUUAUUUUUAAGUAAUCUCUAUACUUAACGUGGGGCUCAAACUCACAACCCUGAGAUCAAGAGUCACUUGCUCAACUGACUUAGCCAGCCAAGCACAACUGUUUUAUUUUUAAUGUUGGUAGAGAAAUACAGGUUCAUUCAUUUAUCUGUCUGGCUUUUUUAUCUUAGACGAUAGCAGACUAAAAUGAAAACAGAAUGUAUAGCUUCCAAAUAACUCUAUUUAAAAAUGCUUAAAUAAAGAACAUUUGAGAAUGGUAAAUUUUAAGGUGUGAAUGGAAAAAAAUAAUAAGAAAAUUCCCAAAUAAAAGGAUAAAGUAAUGUAAGUGAAAUUAAGUAUGCAGUUAUCAAAAAAAUGUAACUAUUAAGGGCAAAGAAUAUAAAGAUAGAUAAACCAAAUACUGUUUAUAAGAGAAGUACUUAAUACAGGUUAAAAAUAAAGUGACAAAUACACUAGGAAAAUACAAAUAUAAAGAAAGCAUGAGUUAAAAUAUCAACACCAGACAAAAUUUCACGGCAAGAGGCAUAAAGUGGGGCAGACUGACCAAAUUACAAUCCAUAAUGAAACUAUUAGAAAAUUAAUUUUUAUGCACUAAAGAAUUUAGCAUUGAAGUUCUUAGUAUUUCAAAGAUGAACUACACAAAAAGAAUAAGACUAUAAAUAACUAAAUAAUAUAAAUUUAAAGUUUGGCCUAAUAAAUACAUGCUGAAUCCAACAAAUAGAAAAUAUAUAUAAAAAGAUACUUAAAAGAAAAUUUACAAAAAUAGAUCAUGUAUCUAGACUACAAAGAAAAAAACCCUCACUCAUAUGAAAUUGAAAUUUGAAAGGCUUCAGCAUCUUAUUUAAAUAAAAUUAAACUGGUAACUAAAAAUAAAAAAGUCCAUGAUAAAACCCACUCUCCUAAAUAACCCUUGAGUUAAUUAAGAAAUCAAAACAGCAGUCAUAAAUUAGAAAUUAAUAAUUUAUAAAAUUUACACAGGACAAAACAUACACCUUUGCAUAUAAGUCUAAUCAAUUCCUUAUAAUAAACUUCUAGAAGUGGAGUGAAAGUGAACAUCACUAGAAUUGAGAAAGUCAAGAAAGUUUUUGGCUAAGGAGUUAAAUGUGUCAUAUGAUCAAUGGAAAUUCCCCAUAUAACAGUAAGAGUUGAGGCUAAGCCAAGAGAUGACUGCCAAAGUGCCCUAUGAAUUUGGAAACAUAUCACCUAGAUGAUAGAAGUGUAGGGAUCUCAUUACAGAAAUUUAGGACACUUCAUUAGCUGAAAGGAGUAUGUACACAGCGCUUGAUUCUCACUCCAAUAAUAAAGGUAUGACAUCAAUUCCUUAAGGUGAUAGAUUAUCAAUAAAUAUUUAUUGCCCAAUCAAUACAAAAGAUUCUAAAUAUUUAAUCAUCUUAAGUAGUUUGACCAAGCCAGCUAUAAGGAAUACUUGCAUGGAAUCUUCUAGAUAUAAGGAUACAUGAGAUAUAUACAAAUCCAAACCAAAGAAUGUGCACAUAAUUUAUGUGAAUAAAUGUACAUGAGCUAGGAAACAGUAACCAAUGCAUUUUGUCAUGCCACCCUUAAGGCAGAUCUUUACUUAUAAGAAGGUUCAUCCAUACAAUGACAUAAGAAGUGUGAACAUAUUUAGGCCACUUUAUACUAUAAUCAGUAGUUCCAGUAAAGUUUUAUGCUUUCUUGACUAAGCUUGGACUUCAUUUUAAAUUAUGAAAAUCUGUUAUUAACCAUCAGCACAUAAAGUUUUCAGAGAGCUAAAUGGCAUAUUAAAAGGCUUACGGAAGAAAAAAUACUCUAGCAGCAUUCUUUUUUCCUGGAAAACUGAGUUUUCAACUUCUCAAGAAAAAAAGAUAAACUUUUAGCUUAAUGCUAAUAAAACCAACCUGUAAUUUUUGCUGCCUUUUCCUCUUGGUUCACUCGGUUCUCAUCAUCUUCUUCAUUAUCUUCUUCAAAGUCAUCUAAAUUGCCGAUGUCAGCCUGCUUCAUACUCAUCAAACUAGCCAAACUUUGCAUGUCUUCAUCCCUACAUCAAUGAUUUCAAAUUUAAUACACAGUUCAUUAAAUGACAUUGUUUGAAAAAAGUUUAAGAAAAUAAUAAUAUAGUCUUUUUUCUAAAUAUUAAUGAGCCCUUUUAAAUAGUUGUACAAGACUACUGAAAAACCUAAAUAGUCAUAUUCAUUAAUUUUUAAAUGGCAUGUUUAAUCAGUAAAAAGCAAACUAGAUUAAAAACUAACUAGUUAGGAGUUAGUUUAACUCUUUGCUGCCAUCUAUGGAAGACUAAAAUUUUCUUCACAGGAUUAAAGUGUGGGUUCCUAAUCAUUAAGUCUGGAAAUAAAAACUUGUUUCAUAAAACAGUGAGAUAGUUUGCAAAUCAAUAAGAUCUAGACUUUAAAAUAUUCAAGUUUUCAAAAUAAAUUAGAAUAGAAAUUCUUAAUCUGAAAUCCAUGAACCCUUUUGGUUUUGUGGGUAGGAGGAAAAAGAAAUGGUAAACCACUGUAAAUUUAUACGUAAAUCUUAUUUAAAUGCGCAUUUUUCUCAAAGGGGCCAUAACUCCCCAAAAGUGAAAGCACUACUGGAACAGCAUUUUUUUUUUCAAUAUAUGAAAUUUAUUGUCAAAUUGGUUUCCAUACAACACCCAGUGCUCAUCCCAAAAGAUGCCCUCCUCAGUACCCAUCACCCACCCCCCCAUCAACCCUCAGUUUUGGAACAGCAUUUUUAAAAAUUACAAAAUGAAAAAUGACCUGGAUUGACUAUAAGUUAAAUACCAUAUACUGGAUAAAAUGUAAAAAUGUUUUUUUAUCUUGAAGUAUUUUAAAUAUAAGUAUAUAAAGUUUACCUUACUCUAAACAAAUCAAAUAAUGAAGUUUUCCUGAAAUAUCAUUUUCACCUUAAAUUUCAAAUAAACUACCGUGAGUAAAACACAUUUCUAACACAUUACAUGCAAACUAAAUUUCAAUCUGAUAUUCUUCCCUAAAAUUCAGAAUUUCAAAUUAAGAUACUGUUUCCCAUGUUCUAACUACAAUAAAAGAAACAAAACAAGAAAACUCUUUUGUAAAGAAAUGUUUGUUAACAUUCACUUAUUUUCUAAAUAUAGUACAACUAUGCAGACUAAACUGGUUUUUGAAAUUCUUUGCAUUUUAUCUCAUGUAAGCCUACAGUUGACAUAACCAUUUCCCUUUUUAAAAAUAAAUGUAGUGAUAUCAAGUCUGCAUGAACAAAAAAAGUUGUAUUACCUUAUAUGAAUGCUAUACAAAUUGCUCACCUGUCAAUGAGGGAUAAUUUUAAGAUAUACCAUUACUCUUGAAAUGUUAACUUGCUUAAUUUUACCUCUGUAAUUUCCUCAUACUUUAACCUUGAACAUUUUUCUCUAUGAAAGGUUAGGAGGCAAGGAGUGUGGAGGCAGAGAGGGAGUUUAGGGUGUUUUAAGAGAAAUUUCCACUGGAAUUGAGACAUUUGGUUUGACUGAAUUUCCCAGAUUCUCCCAGGGAUGGAUGGUGCUGAUUCACUUACUGCUUCUGCCCAGUGGAAAGGAGUCCACAUUCAAAGGAUCUUCUCUGAUUUUGUUUUCUCUUUUCUUCCUGUGUUUUCUUUCCUUUCAUUAUGGCUUGAACUUCAGGGUAAGAUCUUUAUUUUUAGGUUCUCAGUAUUUAAGUCUAAAAUUUAAGGUCCUGAGAUGAAAGACUGAUUGCUUCCAUUCUGCACUGUCCCUCUGCCACACUCACUCAAAAGCCAACUUUCCAGAGAUGAGGCUUACAGUUAUCUACCAAGUCAUUUGCUGCCCUGUAGAUGAGUGCCAAACAUCUCAUUUUGACUGACGCACAGAAUCCAGUCUAAUCAGUCAAGUAGACAUGGCCAAAUAUAGUAACCACAUUCCACUGGCUCAAAUACAUUUAGAACUAUGAUUCAGAUUGGAUCGAAAUGUUCAUAGCUGGCUUCCUUCUCUCACCUUUCAAAUCCAGGCUUAGAAUUUCCAUUUCUUCCCUCCCUGAUCUUCCUCUCCAAGUAAGUACUAACCCUUUCAUUACACCCCAAACAUACACUCAUCCUUGACUUGAAUGUAUGCAACAAGCAUGGUAAAUGUUACAUUUUUCCUGUUCCAGGCAUGUUUUCCUCAUUUCAUACAGUUAGAAUUUUACACUUAGGAGAUCAGAACUGGUGUAGGAAUUACCUUUGUGCAAUGCCUAUUCAGUACUUACGAAGUGAUUGCUUAAAAGGAUAAUUAUAUAGAAAAUUGUACUUUGCUAUACAACUUUUGGAAGGCCGGGCCAAAGAACAUGAAUUGGUAAAAGUCCCUUUAGUUCUUUCAUCCCUCUUAUCCUGAACUUUUCAUCUUGGGUUCCUCUUAUAUCUCAGCUGCAUCAAACAGCUCUACAAACUGAACUGUCUGUACUUCAGAGUACAACUACUUACACUAAAGACAAUUAAUACAAAACAAACAUGGAUGGCACCCUAUAAUACACAAUAUAAAAUUUGGAACUUGCUAUAAUAUCAUUUUUAUAUUAUUGUUCAUUCUCUAGAGUCAAGAGACUAUAUACACCAAGGAGUUCAUUUAAUUCAGCCUCUGAAACAAAGAAUGGCAAGAAUGACUGGUAUGCAGUAGGAUAUUCUCAACUGUUGCCAGUCUACUAAGUCAAAAGCUGUUUACAUACAGUUUUUAAACACACUGAGAAGCAGCUUGUCUUUUUGACAAAAGAAACUUACGUGGCUUUUCCUUCCCGAAGGAAAAUGCAAGAUAAUGAAAACUGGAGAGUGGCAGAUACAACUUUUUUAGACAAUGGCUUGAAUUUUAACUUGACAUCAGUCUGAGUUGGCAUAGGGCUUGCAUACUGUUUCAUGUUGAUGCUGCUAGUAGCCAGAGCUUUCCUUCGACCAGAAGGGGAUUCCUGGAAGAUAAAAUAUAA